rnacentral:rRNA from 1 species
GAUGAACGCUGGCGGCGUGCCUAAUACAUGCAAGUCGAGCGAAUGGAUUGAGAGCUUGCUCUUAUGAAGUUAGCGGCGGACGGGUGAGUAACACGUGGGUAACCUGCCCAUAAGACUGGGAUAACUCCGGGAAACCGGGGCUAAUACCGGAUAACAUUUUGAACCGCAUGGUUCGAAAUUGAAAGGCGGCUUCGGCUGUCACUUAUGGGUGGACCCGCGUCGCAUUAGCUAGUUGGUGAGGUAACGGCUCACCAAGGCAACGAUGCGUAGCCGACCUGAGAGGGUGAUCGGCCACACUGGGACUGAGACACGGCCCAGACUCCCACGGGAGGCAGCAGUAGGGAAUCUUCCGCAAUGGACGAAAGUCUGACGGAGUAACGCCGCGUGAGUGAUGAAGGCUUUCGGGUCGUAAAACUCCGUUGUUAGGGAAGAACAAGUGCUAGUUGAAUAAGCUGGCACCUUGACGGUACCUAACCAGAAAGCCACGGCUAACUACGUGCCAGCCGCCGCCGCGG